CUACGGGGGGCUGCAGUGGGGAAUAUUGCACAAUGGAGGAAACUCUGAUGCAGCAACGCCGCGUGGAGGAUGACACAUUUCGGUGCGUAAACUCCUUUUAUAUGAGAAGAUAAUGACGGUAUCAUAUGAAUAAGCUCCGGCUAACUCCGUGCCAGCAGCCGCGGUAAUACGGGGGGAGCAAGCGUUACUCGGAAUCACUGGGCGUAAAGAGCAUGUAGGCUGAUAGAUAAGUUGGAAGUGAAAUCCUAUGGCUUAACCAUAGAACUGCUUCCAAAACUGUCUGUCUUGAAUAUGGGAGAGGUAGAUGGAAUUUCUGGUGUAGGGGUAAAAUCCGUAGAGAUCAGAAGGAAUACCGAUUGCGAAGGCGAUCUACUGGAACAUAAUUGACGCUGAGAUGCGAAAGCGUGGGGAGCAAACAGGAUUAGAUACCCCCGUAGUC
rnacentral:rRNA from 1 species